rnacentral:misc_RNA from 1 species
CCGGUAUAUUACUACAAUUCUCCACCCCCACCAUCACCAUCACCUCCUCCACCAUCACCACCGCCUACUCCAGUAUAUGAAGGGCCAUUGCCACCAGUAAUAGGAGUUCAAUAUGCUUCACCACCUCCACCACCCUUUUAUUAAUUCUUUCAAAAAAUUCCACUAACUUAUCCUCAAAAGCACAAAAUCAUCCCUACAAUUAUUAUUUCCUCUACUCUUCAAGCCAUCAACAAAAUCGAGCUAAUAUAGGAUCACAAACCUUAAAUGGUACGACAGAAAGAACGAUUAGACUGUGGAGAGGAGGUAAAGAGGAGAAAGAUUCAAUCUUUAAAGAUUGUAUUUUUGAAUUGUUAUGAAAUAGAUUGAAGUUGUGGAGAGAAUAAAUUGGCAAAGUAAAGAUUGAAACUUUGCAAGAAAAUGUAUGUAUAGAGAUCAUAAUCUGGGCUUAAAUCCAGUUUACAGUGCUUGCUGAUCUGGUUUUUUUCUUAUUUUGUGAGUUUUUAUUGUUAGAUUUUAGUUUCAUCAUACUUUGUAUCUUUAUUUUUUUGGGUUUUUUUUCUUCUUCUCAAACUAUAGUAUAAUGAUGAGCAUUUUCUGUUUUACUUGUAUUGAUUCUCA